rnacentral:rRNA from 1 species
UACGGAGGGUGCGAGCGUUGUCCGGAAUCAUUGGGCGUAAAGGGCGCGUAGGUGGCGGGACAAGCGUGCGGUGAAGCCUGGGCUCAACCCGGUCGGCCGUGCGAACUGUUUGCUUGAGCACUGUAGAGGCAGGCGGAAUUCCGGUGUAGUGGUGGAAUGCGUAGAGAUCCGGAGGAACACCAGCGGCGAAGGCGGCAUCGUGGACUGGUCCUGACACUCAUGACGCGAAAGCGUGGGGAAGCGAGUCCGG